GGUGCUAUGGCUUAGCUGGCUAAAGCACUUGCUUUGUCAACAGGAGAUCCUGGAUUCAAUUCCCCCUGGUGCCU
rfam:Pelodiscus sinensis unplaced genomic scaffold scaffold337, whole genome shotgun sequence.